GGGGCACUAGCUCAAUUGGCAGAGCUGCGGACUUUUAAUCCGUAGGUUCAGGGUUCGAGCCCCUGGUGCCCCA
rnacentral:tRNA from 2 species